rnacentral:rRNA from 1 species
GACGGAGGGUGCUAGCGUUGUUCGGAAUCACUGGGCGUAAAGGGCGCGUAGGCGGCCUCAGGUGUCGGAUGUGAAAGCCCGGGGCUCAACCCCGGAGGUGCAUCCGAAACUCUGGGGCUGGAGGUCGGAAGGAGGAGGGUGGAAUACCCAGUGUAGAGGUGAAAUUCGUAGAUAUUGGGUGGAACACCGGUGGCGAAGGCGGUGGUCUGGGCCGGAACUGACGCUGAGGAGCGAAAGCGUGGGGAGGCGAACGG